rnacentral:tRNA from 1 species
CGGAGCCGAUCGACCAGGCGCGGGCGGGCGGCCGCAGCCCGCUCGACGCGGGCACGCUGUACGUGGCCCGGUUCGAGGCCGAGGGCACCGGCC